rnacentral:rRNA from 1 species
CGGACGGGUGAGUAACACGUGGAUAACCUACCUAUAAGACUGGGAUAACUUCGGGAAACCGGAGCUAAUACCGGAUAAUAUAUUGAACCGCAUGGUUCAAUAGUGAAAGACGGUUUUGCUGUCACUUAUAGAUGGAUCCGCGCCGCAUUAGCUAGUUGGUAAGGUAACGGCUUACCAAGGCAACGAUGCGUAGCCGACCUGAGAGGGUGAUCGGCCACACUGGAACUGAGACACGGUCUAG